AGUGAACGCUGGCGGUAGGCCUAACACAUGCAAGUCGAACGGCAGCACAGUAAGAGCUUGCUCUUACGGGUGGCGAGUGGCGGACGGGUGAGGAAUACAUCGGAAUCUACUUUUUCGUGGGGGAUAACGUAGGUAAACUUACGCUAAUACCGCAUACGACCUACGGGUGAAAGCAGGGGAUCUCCGGACCUUGCGCGAUUGAAUGAGCCGAUGUCGGAUUAGCUAGUUGGCGGGGUAAAGGCCCACCAAGGCGACGAUCCGUAGCUGGUCUGAGAGGAUGAUCAGCCACACUGGAACUGAGACACGGUCCAGACUCCUACGGGAGGCAGCAGUGGGGAAUAUUGGACAAUGGGCGCAAGCCUGAUCCAGCCAUACCGCGUGGGUGAAGAAGGCCUUCGGGUUGUAAAGCCCUUUUGUUGGGAAAGAAAAGCAGCAGGUUAAUACCCCGCUGUUCUGACGGUACCCAAAGAAUAAGCACCGGCUAACUUCGUG
rnacentral:rRNA from 1 species